rnacentral:sRNA from 1 species
AAAUAGCCCUGAUAGAAACGGCAUCCUUUAUGUUCUCGUUCUCAAAACGAGACCAUAAAGAUACAGUGGAAAGCAGGAAGUAUC